AUUAAACCAACAUUUUUUGAAAAUUUAGAUUUUUGAACAUUUGAGAUCUCAAUCAAAAUUUUUAAAAUUUUCAAAUCCCACCCCAAAAUAGUAUUCUCGAAUUUCAUUCCAAACGGACCGAAAUCUCGAAUUUUUCGAGAUAACUAGAAACUACCUAGAAAUUACAUCCCCUUAUUUUUAAAAAAAAAAAAAAAAAAAAAAGGUAAAAAAAAAAAAAAAAAAAAAAGGUCGAAAAGCGACCUGCCCACCAACUAAAACGAAAAGGGCAAGGCAUCUGAACUGUUCCGGAAAGUUCUCCCGAAUAAAUAACUUGUAAUAAAAUUACCAACUAAACUAAAAAUAAAUAAAUUUAAUGAGACCAUAUUCUGUAAUUAUUGACGACUUUUAACGAAGAAGCAACAUGAAACAGGAAGCAUAUAUGCCCAUAUUAACCCCACCAAAAAAGGAAAAAAAAAAGCAUAACUGGGGCCCCCAAUGUUUUUUUUUUCUAAUAAUUUCUGGAAAUCGCAAAUGGGCCCCAUACAGAGAUAGACUCUAGAAAUCAUCGCCGUCGUAACCAAGAUCAUCUUCGACCUUUUCCGCCGCUUCAUCAGCAAUGUGGUCUUCCAACGCGUCAACGCCCUCAGCCAAUGCCAGUCCACCCAGUAUCCCCCCUACAGCACCCACAGCCAAUCCCGUCCCCAUCCCGCCAAACUUACUCUUCUUUUUCUCCUCAACUUGACCGUAGUACCCUCCAGGUGGAGCAGCCCCGUACGCGCCGUAACUUGGCUGACCGUAAGCCCGGCAACCUUAACAUCGACUUUCCCGUGGGGCCUACCGGAUGGUCGCUUGAGCUUCAACGUGAGCGACGCGCGCUCGCCCAAUCCGACGUCGUUGAUGACAUCCUUCAGCUUGAGCUUAGCCGAGCCGAUCAGCUUCUUGGUGUCCUCCUCGUUGCCGGCGUGGACUACGUCGAUGAUGAGAGUGGUGUCGUCGUCGACGGGACCGGGCAGGGGGAUGGCGAGGGUCUCGUCCCAGUAAGGGCACGUGUCGCCCUCAUCGUCGACCUUGGUGGAGCAUUUCUUGUUUGGGUCGACCCAGAGGACGGCGUACGGCCUGUUGGGGCCGUGGCGCCAGUUGACGUUCUUGAGGUCCUUGGCGGAGGUGAUCGUCACUUCCACUUCGUAACGAGAAGCCAUCGGGAUUUUCUAGAAGAUAUAGAAAGACGGAAUGACUGUGUUGGAGGAAUAAUGUUAAGAGGCCGCGGGGUAUUUAUAUAACGUAAUAAAUGAAGCUUAGGGACUAAGAAUAGUGCCAUGUAUGGUAAUGUUGGUAUUGAUGGACGGGUGGCGGUUUCUUACUGGGGGAGGUGAGUUUUGAGAGCCAAUGGGAUGAAGGUUAGGCAGGCGUGCCUUGGGGAGUCAGCUUGGGGGAGGCGAGUUCAAGGGAAUGUGCAUCUGGCUUUUUCGUACGUAACGUCAUUGGGCAUUGGCGAGUGGGUCCAGCCACGCGGGACGCACACGGCAUUUGCAUUUUUUCGGCAUUUUUCAUGGCAGUGGGUGUGUGGUUUUCACCUUUCACCUUUUAGUUGGAUGGGGCUUAUCAAUAUGUAAAGCCCAUUGCACUUUUCAAAUUUCCUUUUGGGCUCCAUUCAAAAAAAUAUGAACAAAGAUAUCGUAGAAUUUUUUUAGAUUAUUAUGAGUAGUAAGAGUGACGUUUCAGUUUCCUUGGAGAAGAGUAACUAAAAAAAUAAAAAAAAACAUAUGAACAAAAAUAUUGUAGAAUUUCAUUAGAUUAUUAUGAGCAGUGAGAGUGAGGUGACGUGAUGGGCUCACGGCUAUGAACCGACUACAGAAUAUUAUAAACUCUUACUAAAGGCCCAAUUUUGCAUUAUUUGAGGCCCAGUUCUCGUUUGGCUUGCAGGCUCAUCGAAUUGACAACUCGUGUUAUGGCCAUCAUGAUCCAUUACUUGCGGCUUCCCCAUCGACUUUUGAAAUUAAGGGUCGUUUGGUAUAUUUUUUUUUUUUCAAUUGAUGUUUUUUAAACUCUUUUUAGAAAAGGAAAAUAAUGUUUUUGAUGUGAUAUCUUUAAAAAUAAAAAUAUGUUUGGUAGCUUAUUUUUAAUACAGCAUAUGACAAUGAAAACAACGAAAACAUGUUUAGUUGUUUGUCUUUCGAGACAGUGAAAGAGUGGAAAAAUUAUUUUAUUAAUUAAGAUUUUUUUAAUAAUGACAUUUUACUUUGUGAGUUUAUGCUAUAAUUAUCAAAAUUUGUGAUCCAUCAUAUGUGUAUUGGUAUUGUUCAUGUUGAUGUAUAUAUUUAUGUAUGUAUGUAUGUAUAUUUUUAAAAGACAUAAAAUUAAUAUAUUAUUAUCUUAUAAAUAUAUAGAUACAUACAUCGAUAUUUAUACGAAAGAGUGUAAGAUAGAAGAGUUAUAUUAUCUCAUGAUAAUUCUUAAACGUAACUUACCAUAAAAAAAUUAAAAUCAUUAAUUUAUUUUAAAACACAAAAUAAAAGUUAUGCUAAGUUACAUAAAAUCAAGUAAUUUACAUUAUUCAAGUUAAAAUAAUUUUUAUCUAGUAUGUAUCUAUUUAUUUUAGAGAAUCCAAAAUUAAUUAAUUUAGUGGCAUACAUUUUAUAUUAAUUUCGUCGUCGUAUGGAGGUAGUUUUCUUUUGCAUAAUAAAUGCAAUUUUGAUUAUCUAGAAUGAUAACUAAUAUAAAAGAAUCAAAGAAAAAAAAGGGUGUUCGAAAAAACUGUAGUCCUAUGAGAAGCCUUCGGUUUAUCACUUACAUUAAUAUAUUAUUAGAAAUAUAAAACUUAAAUAAAAUAUUAUAAAGCAUCAUUCAUUUGGUAAGUAACUUGAUAGCAUGUGUUGGACUAGUAGAAUAAUUCUAUCCCUUGUAGUGGGACUUGCGUAAAAUGAAUAUUGAAGAAUAGCAUAAAGUCUUUUCUUCUUUUCUUCACAAUUUCUCAUCGAAAAUCGUCGUAACAAUGCAGAAAUAAGGGCUGCCAAACAUAUUUUCUUAAUUUUUGUUUUUUUUUUAAACGAAAAACACUGAACAAAAAACGUUACCAAACAGGUCUUAAUCUUCCGAAGGAGUGACAAGACCCGACUAAACGCCCGGAAAGGCGGGAAAACAUAUGAGUCUAAAAAAUUGUCUUGUUUAAGUUGAAACCCAAUAUUUCAUGGUACACAUAUUACAUUGGUUUAAUGAUUUUAUAGUUCAAAAAAGUUCCAAAAGACAAAUUAAGUUAUUUUUCUUUUAUUCUAAAAAUAAACACCGCUAUUUAGAGUUAUUAUGCCUUGAUUAAGUUAUUUUUCUUCAAUAUUCUACGUAUUUGUAGAAUAUCCUAUAAACUUUUCUCUUGCAAGUACCAUGUCAAGAGAAGAGAUUUCAUGAGAAUAUUUAUUUAAUCUCUAAACGAUGAAGGAUUAGCCUCCUUUGGAUACAUCCAUACCCUUUUAUAUACAGUUGUUCAGCUAGUCGAAAUUGCCUCUUACGCUUCAGAUAAAAGUAAACACAAAUUAAAUAAACACUAUAAUAAUAACAAUAAUAAAACACAUAUACAAAUCCUUACCCUACAUAUCAACUCCUUCACUGAAAUUAUUUUUGUAUUUCUUAUAUAUAUCACAUUUAAAUUUGUACUCACAGUAUCAAUCAAUGUGCUUUUACGUAAAGCGCACGGUGCACAUAACACAGAAUCAUUAUUGCAUGCAUUUGCUCCCGAAAAUUAAUGUGAUGAUUAAAUUCAGAACACAACACCCACAUCUAGAUUCUUACACCAUAGCCUUGGGGUUUCACAAAUUCCCAGAACAAUAUAUUUAUAGCAAAAUUCAAAACAAUAAUCAAAUAAAAAGACGGAUCCAAUGAACACAAUAAACAAUCUUCAAUAUUGGAUCAUACUGUUUCCUAACCAAACACAUCCCCUUACCCCAACAAGAAAGCGAAAAUUGGGAAAACGAGCCCACAUGAUUCUUUAACCGUCUGUUCCCCAACCCAGUUGCUGCACUAAGACAAAAAUUAGGGACACAAGAUCUACUGAGGAAGCACAACAAAUCUAAAGUUCAUCGAACAAAAAUAUGGUGUCUGGCCUUUGUUUCUGUGUUGUCUGUUGUUGAUUUCUUGUAUUAUAUUUGUUGAAGUUACAUUUAUUUGACACUUGUAAUUCUUUCCAUUUUCAUCCGCAGUUUGUUCUUGCUGAUACAAUGAACCACUUUGUUCUUUCUUAAUGGAACGAAAUAAUCUUUCAUCCUCACGAGCAACAUUUUGUACGAAUGGAAAAGCAUUUAGAACAUGACACAUGAGUUUGACGUUAGAAAUAUUUUUUAGAUGGAAAAUUUCGUCUAAUGUUCUGCUAAUGCAUUGCCGUGUUUAUGACUUUAUACUUUUGCUUAAUUUUUAUUUUAGUUGUUACGAUUUAUAGAUAUAUACCAAUCUAGAAUCCGUUGAAAAUUUUAUUAAAUAUAUACACUCCGAGUAUAAUUUUGAAAUAUACGUUAAAUUGAAGGUGAGAUUUUUUAUCCGAACAUGUAGGGAGAUGUAUCUAUUUUUGGGAGAGACUACAAAAAUAGAUAAUGUUUAUAGCAAUUGCUAAGCUACUGCGGAUGUAACUUUAUGAAAACAAUAUUGAUAGAGCCACAACUAUAUUGUACAAAUAAGUGUGUACAAACUGACGUGGCAUGAGAAGAUUGGUUAUAUAAAAUCAUCAUGGUUUUACAAUAGAGUAAUGAUAUAGUCACAAAUUCUUGUACAAACUGAUGUGGCAUGAUAAGGUUGGUUGAAUUAAAUAUCACUUGGCCCACAUAAUUUUAUAUUUUCAUUUUGAAUUAAAUAUCACUUGGCCCACAUAAUUUAUUUUUAUUAUUUUAUAUUUUCAUUCAACCAAUGAAUUAAUGUCACGUCAUUUUGUACAAAAUAAAUUUAUACAAGAAUUUGUGUUUGUAUCAUUACUCUUUACAAUAAUUAAAAAAGUAAUUGUUAUCACUUUUCGGCCCUGUUUGGGAUUACUUUUGGGAGAGUUAAAAGUGAUUUUAAAAAUCUAAAAGUUAAUUUUAGUGUUUGGUAAAAAAAAACCAAAAUUACUUUUGCCAGAAUCAGCUCCUCCUACAGCUGAUUUUGAAAAGUAGAGAAUGAGUAACUUUUAGAUUCUGAUUUUGAGAAUCAAUUUUAUCAUUUAAUAUAAGUACAUAAAUAUCCUUACAAUUAUUACUUAAACCCGAAAUUAUCCUUAUUUAAAUUAGAAAUAAAAUUAAUAUUUUAAUAAUUUUUUAUUAUAAUUAACACACACCUUUCGUUUACCCUAUUUCUUCAUAUUUUGUGUUCUAUCAAAACUUCUCUAAUGCAACAAAGCAAGAUCCAGUACGUGUUCCAUCACCAUAUUCAAUAACAGUAAGUGAUUCAUCACCCUUUUCAUGCAUAUUCAAUGUAAUUUUUAUUAUAAUACAUGUACAUUUUUAUAUGUAUAAGUAAAUUUCAUCCUACAUUAUGUACAUUUUAGUCAUUUAUUUUCUUAUAGCAGUUUAACAAUAAGAUUUACCAAACACCCAUAAUUACUUUCAAAAUUCACAAUACUUUUGAAAAUAAAAUUUACCAAACACUUAACUGAUUCUCUUCACACCUGAUUAUUUGUACAGCACAACUAACAACAAUUAUUUUAAAAGCUGCAGUAUUACCAAACUCGCCCUUCAUCCAAUCUCUUCAUGCUGCAUAGUUUAUAUAUACUAAUUCGUACAAAACAGCUUGUGGCCUUAUCAUUAUUGUUAUGAAAAUAAUGCAAAAAAAUAAUAAUAAGUUAUGGGGCUGGCAUGUGUUUUAUUGAGGACUGUAACUUACAUAAGCAGUAACUUUGCAAGACCCCAUAUUUAUAUCAUUUACAAGGAACUCCAAAAUUAUGCCGUCUGCUCACUAGAUCAUCUGUCCCCUAGAUUUGCUUUUUCUUUUUUCCCCCCCUGAAAGUUCUCUGUAUUUAUUAAUUUAUUUGCAAUUUUACUGUUCGAAAUAGAGGGUAGUCUUGUUCCGGGGCAAUAAGGGGGACCAGGGCGUACAGUGGAGGCUUCACUGAGUGAGGUGGGAUUUGGCAUUUGCUGCCAAUGAAUAAAUACGAUGUUGCCUUGGAAAUUUUGCUUUGCUUGCUGAGUCUUCAAACUCAUUAAUGACUCCCAGCAGUCGUUUUCUCUUUUGAAAAUUUGAAACUUCAGAUUUUUCAAUCUCAAAUUUAUUAGUUUUCUUUCCUUCUUUUAUUGUCCUGUCCCCGACACCCCCUUAUCUCUCUAACACUGCAUAUAACUAAUCACUAUCAGUCUUUAUUGUAAUAAGAUAAAUUUUAUAUCUCUAGAAACAUCUUCAAGUCACACGUUUCUUAAUCUGAUGCGAGCGAUAUUAAUUUCAAACCAAAAUUCUGUUCUGGGUAUUUUAGAUAUGAAUUUAAUUGCAUGCUGAUUGCUGAUUUAUGAUACAUUAUUGUAUAUCAACCAGCAGUCGCAAUUGUAUAUUUUUGUGAACAAAAAGAAAAAAAAAUAGAUCAGGCUAUAAUUCAAAUCAAUAAAACUUAAUUACAGAAGCCUCAGGUUUUAUUAUUUGGGCUAAUUAAAAGUAUAAUAAUAACUGAGAGCGUUCAUGUGGUAAGGGAACUUUAUAGCAACUUCCAGGGUGUAACGGGGAGGCAAAUUGAAUAUUGAAAGUGGACGAUAAUAGGAUUGGUGGGCAGAGGGAGACUCAAAGACCAGAGAGAGCAUCUGCUUCUGUUUAUCUAUGACUGUGAAAGUGCUUUUUUAAUUCUUUUUUUCUCUCACUUUUGAAAUCAAAUUAAGACUUUAAACAAAAACUAACACAAUGCUUUCUUACCAUUCAAAAGUGCUUUUUCAAAAGCAAAAUGUUUGCCAGAAGAAUAGUGUUUUACUCUGAGAUCAUCAUAUGCUUGGUCAUUUACUUGCAGUCUUGAAGACUUGAACAAAAAGAAAAAGGUUUAAUUAAAGAAGCUUUGGCACAACUUUCACAGCUCUUUCUUAAAAAUAAAACCUGCUGGACUUUAGUAAGAAGCUCUCUUACUAGUUAGUUAAAUGUUAUUACAAGUAAUAACAAACCGAUCCUUGUAUUUUUCAUUUUUUGUCAGUUCUUUUUUCCUGCUCAUUUUGUAUCUAAAUAGGUCCCGUCCCAGUUCCCAGUUCCCAGUUCCAUCUCUUGAAAUGAACAAAUUAGCUUAUAAUAUUGAAAUCUUGACAAAUGCAUUGCAAGAGUAUGUAGACUGUCACCUAACUUAAAAGGGUUUUGCAACAACUUCAGAAUGAGUCAGGGAGCUAUAUAAUGCGAAUGAAAAAAAUUGUGUUCUGAAAAGAGAAAUCAUUAAAAGUUAGGGGCUUUUUGAUGUUAUUAACCAAUGUGUUUAUUAUCCACUUGAAAAAUGUGAUUGGAUCACUGAUCUCUUGAGUCUUUUUUUUUUUUAACUUUUUUCCCCCCUCCUCAAGAAAGACUAUUUAGUCUUCGCCUGGCGAAAAAGAGGUUUGGGGAACAACCACUCUACUUGGACAGAAAGGAAAAUUAGUUGGCUUUGGUUUUGAAGCCAAGGUAGCAAGUUUCUUUGAUGAAAUGAUGUGAUCAAUAGGCAAAAUGUUUUUUUUUUUUUUUCUUUCCUGAGAAAAAGCCAAUUUUAGCCCUCUCAGUCACAGACCAAGACCGAACCCAAAACCCUUCGAGAAAGUGAAUGGAAAGAGAAAAUAGAUUGCAAUCCUGUGAAGUCAUUUCAUUUCAGUUUCAGAAUCUGAAAUGAUAUCACACAUCUGAUAUGAUGAUCCGAACGGCUAGCUCGUACCCUUUCAAAGGUGACAUCAUUAUGAAUUGCGGAACUCAAUUUAGAAUAGUUAAAAGAAGAACCAAAGAUCCCGUAUCAGAAUUCCUUUCAAAUUUUUCAUAAUGACCCAUCAUCAAUAUACACAAGACAAUAACAAGUAACAACAACAGCAGCGACAAACAAGUGAUUCUAUUUCACUCAAUAUAUAGCCAUCAUCAUAACCAACCAAACGUGACCAGUAACAACAACACAACAACCCUACGCUAGCUUUUCUCUGUUUUCUUUUACAACAACAAAUUACGAAGCUGUCCUGUGCAACAAUGUUCCUUUUCCUGUCUAUAGAUUUCAAUUUCAUUGACAAACAGUUUCUUCUAUUUUUAUUUUCCCGCUUAAAUUCUUUCUUCAUUGGAUUUUCUUGCUGAUAUGAACUCUGAAGAUGAUGAAUCGCUGCUGAAUCUUGAAAACAGAGAUGAAUCUGGAAACAAAUGAAAGACAAAUGUCAACCUUGUUGAGCUAAACUACGAUAACAAAUAUAUUCAAAAUUUCGAGGCUAAUCUAUAUGCAGAAACAUGUAUAUAUACCUCUAGAAAACAAACUGCUGAAAGUCUCUUGCGAAGAACAACUUGUAGAUCUUGAUAAUGAAGAAGAAUCUGAUACAAAAAAUACAGAAAAUUGAAUCAAGACAAUUCAAGUUAACAACCCAAUUAACAAAAAAAUAAAUUAACUUGGUUAAACAUGCAACGAUUUAAUAAAAGAAAAGGAUUUGCUACCUCUAGAGUUGAAAGAGUUUUUGCAAUGAAGAAUGGCGCUUUGAAUCCCAUCAUGCUGAAGAAGCAACGAAUCAUCUCUUCUAGCCGGCGACAUAACUGCAGCAGCCGAAACCGAUUUGCUCUUGCUCAGAUGCUUAAACCCCGCCGGAAUAUUCCCUUUCUUCUCUUUCUUCGCCGGAGAUGCUGUCGGAGAAGAGGAAGAAGCCUCCGUUAGCUCCUCAGGAAACCCCGUCUUGCCAUUCUUCUUGGAAACUCUGACAUACAAUGGCUUGAUCAGCUUCAAGUAUUUCUGUAUCACAUCCUUUGAAAAUCUCUUUGAUGAUGAUGAUGAGGAGGAGGAGGAUGAGUCAGUAUGGAUGCUUUCUUUGUGUUUUGUUUUUCUCAGACUUGAAGCUCUAGUGAACAUUGAAAGAUUUGAAGCAUCUUCAACUCUGAACUUGAUUGUGAAGAGCUUGUUCUGUUUUCUUGUUGACUCUGUUUUCUCCAUUACCCCCGUUUUCUCUGUUUUGAGUGUUGCCAUAGAUUUGGGUUUCUUGAAUAUAGCCACCCGAAGCUUUGGAGCAGAUUUAAGCAGGGAGAUUGGAGACUGGGCUUUUAAACUUGAGCUUGAGCUGGGCUCGAUUGGCAAGAUCUUUCUUUUGGACAAGACAUCGGUGGGAGACAAAGAGGAAAGCGUCGCGGUCACUGUCUGUUGUUGGCUCUCUUUGCUGUUGGUGUUCUUUUUGUUGUCGCAAUCAGAAACAGUGAGCUCCAACUCAAAGAAUGAGUCAUCCCCUUCAUCCAACUCGCUCUCCGAACAAACCACAAGACUGGGAGCAGCUUCAACUUCCAUGGCGGUGGCGGCGGCGGUGGUGGUGUCAUUAUCUUCAUUAAGGGCUUGAUUUUCUUUCAUGGUGGGUCUCCAAAACUUGAGAAAGCUGAGAGUUUCCAUUGCGUCUGUUGAAGCUCGAAAGAGAGAAAAAGAGAGACUAAAUAGAAAUGGCUUCGGUUUCUUUUCCGGAAUAUUUUGGUGGGCUUUUAUAUUUGGUUUGAGAGAAAGAGAAAGAAAAAGAGUGAGGUUUUUGAGAAAUUUAAAGGGACAAAAAAGAAAGAAAGUACUUUUGCACUGCGUUUUAUGGUUGCGUAUUGCAGAACUGAAAAUGGUGUUUUCCAGGGGCUGCCGAGAGCCUGAUGAUGAAAUAUAAGCAGCUUUCUUUUUCUUAGGGAGCAAAUAUCAUUGGUAUCCCUCAAACUUUUUAUAAUAGCAAUUUGAACUCCACUGGAAUUUAGUGUUAUACAAAUAAUCCCUCCAACUUUUUGCACUGCGUUUUUUUGGCACUAACAAUGAGGACUAAAAGUUCAUAUUUUUGAAUUAAUGGAACUGGAACUGUUAUUAUGAAAGAGUAGGGGGUGUUGUUGUUUAGAUACUAAAAAGUAAAAAAGUAAUACGCCUGAUUAAAUUUGUACCCAGAGUUUGUUUUGUACGUUUGGUUUAGUCGUUGUAGUUUAGUUGGUCACAGACUGAACACGUGAAUAUCAAUGCAUUACACAUUUUUUACUUUUUUUUCUUUUUAUUUUUUUGAUUUGUGAGAGAGAGAGAGAGAGAGAGAGAGUCAGAUCAGAAUUCAAAGAAGAAAUAGGAGGAGAGGAGUGUGGCGUAUAGUCUAUAAAGCUGAGUCUCUCACUUAGACUACGUAUCCACACCCACCUUACGGAACGGAAGCCAGAGGGGGGCAGAGCUCUUCCUUCAGUCUUGUCUCAAUUGUGUAUUAUUAGACCCACGCGCACUUGUUUCUAUUUCUUUCAACACAUUUACGACCUUCAUUAUUAUUUUUUCUCAUCCUCCCAAUUAAAAAAAAUAAGAAACGCUCCCGAGGACGACAUUGUUCGCAUUAUAUUGAGUGAUAAUAUCAGCGAAUGACAUUAUUUCUGUUAUAUUGAGUGAUAUUGUCAAUUACUCAAUCACUUUGGUAUGGCGGUAGAUCGAGUUUGGUGAGUAUUGUUAUUCUUGAGAUCAACUUAAAAAAUAAAAAUAUGAAUACAAGUAAGAUAUUAAAAAUUUAAGUUAUCUAUAAUUAUAUGAGGUGGGAACGACUAAAGAUUGUCAUCUAUGAGUCUGAUUUAAAAAUAAUCUCAUCCUGAUUGAUUUUAAGGAUAAAAAUAAACCGUUCCUAUCUUCGAACUAGUCAUUGUCUUAUUAAUUGAUCUUUUGUUAACAAUUUACUGAAUUUGCUUAAUAAAUUAAUGGAACACGUCGCGAAAUGGAAGACAAAGUGAAGUACUUCUAAGUUCUAAAUAUUUUUAAGAGUUAAACAUAAGGAUUAAUGAGAACAUAAUGUGAGACACGUUAUGGAAUAUGAAAAUGCGAAUAUGAAAAUGCCAAAGUUUUCAUUUAACAAAGUUAUCGUCAAUUAUAUUGUUAUAUUAUUUUAUCUUUGAGUUCCCAUAGUCAUUGCACUAAUCAUUUAUAGACAAAAACCGAUUUUGACUUUUGUAGUGCAACGAUCAACAAUGUAACAAGUUAAGCAAACUCAUUAGGUCCUCUUUACUGUCUGCCAAAGAUGUCCAAACCAAAAUUAGAAUUUAGAAAGGAAAAAAAAAACAGAAUUGAGAAUCAAUUUAUUUUUUGGGAGCGCGUGAGAGGUGAGUUUUGGAAUCUAAAAUGAUAUCAAGUUAUGAAGUAUUUUUGGUGUAAAUGCAAAAGCCAUGAGAGGAGAGUGAUGAGAAACUUCCAAAAAGAGGUGAAAAAAAGAAAAACAAAAGAGAAAAAGGCCAAAAAGAAAAAGACUCAAAAAAAAAAGAAAAAGAGAGAGAGAGAGAGAGAGGAGACGCAAGGUAAGGUAAGGUCAUGUUAAUAAUAAUAAUAGAAACAGAGGGCACUUUUACUUUAUGGGCACAGUCUUAAAAAGAUCUGCUUAGCUCAGAAUAAAUUGGUUCUCUAACAAAGGCAAGAAAUUGGGGCAAUUGGCUUCACGCAUGACCCUAUGAGCUAUGAACCCUACUUUUUAAGGGCUUUAACUUCUUUAAAUUCUAGUAAAGAAGGACCGAGUCUCCCAUGCUGUUAAAAGGUUUGACUUGUAGCUGUGACUUGUGGAGUGAUUUUUUAUUUUUAUUUUAAAUUUUAAAUUUUUUUUUGUUUGUUGCCCCCUUUUGUUUCUUUUUCAAAAUGGUCCAAUUUUUGGGUAAGGGAAAGAAAGAUAAAUAGAAAGAUUCUAGCCCCGUUGCAUCAAAGGGCUAAGGUAGAAAAAAGAUUUUAAAAAAGGAGAUUCUUGUGGCUAUAUUUGAGUUUUAAUAAGAAAGAGGAAAAUUGGAUAGUGAUGAGUGAUGUUGAUAAUAAUUCUGGUUGUUGGUGGUUUUAGUUUUAAGAGAGAUUUAAAUAAAGUGGGCAUACAAAUUAUUUUUUGCGCCCACCCACGUAUAUAUACAUUUAUGUUAAAAGGGACCAAUGAUUGUGCAAUUAAAAUGUGUGAUUUCUAUUGAAUGUAUCUCGUCAAAAUUUCAAACGCAAGAUUUUAUUAUUUUAGUCACUUGUUUUGAUUUGGAGAAAACUACCAAGACCCCUUAUUUUUUUCCAAAAUUUGUACUAUCCACCCCAACUGUUUCAAAACAUACCAAAAACACCUGUGUCAAGGGGGAUUUUGGUAAGUGCUGAAACAAUAGAGUGAGAAGACAAAUUUUGAAGGAAUACAUAUAAAGGGGCUUGCUAGUUUUUCCUUUUGGUUUAUCUAUUGAAUCUUGAUAUGUGUAUGAUUCUAAAUUUCAUCAAGGCUUGUGCAAGCCAUGUAAAUAUGUAAUGAUGAUUUCACUUUGAUUUCAACGAAAUCUAAUUGGUCUCUUUCUUUUUUGUUUGCUUUUUCAAGAAUUAUUGUGAGAAUAAUCCAAAUGUCAUGCAAUUUUCUCUCUAGUUUUUCAUGUUUAUGGUGUGCACGUCGUUAAUCUUUAUGUAUUAUGCGCUCGUUCCUUCGCUUUUGUAUGAAUUUUUAGAUUAAUUAAUAGAAUUGAACCUAAAGAAAAAAAGAAAAAAGAAAACCAAGAAACUUGAACUGACCCAUCCAAUAAUAUAUAACGAUAUUCACAAUGAUGAUGUAUAUUACCGACAUUUAUUUUUGCACCUAUUGAAACUUUUCUAUUUAGACCGGCAACUUUGCAACAUCUUAUCUUAUUCUUAUCCCUCGACUUUGGAAUUAGAUACCAAUUUAAUUAAAGAACAAUUUUCUACUUUUCAUUUUUUUAAAUCAUGGAAGAAUGAUAAUUUUGUUCUUAUUUUUAUUUAUUGCUGUAUUUUUUCCCCUAAAAUCUUCACCCUUACAUUUAUUUCAUGCCACGUUAAUGUAUAUGAAUGGGUUAUAUAAAUAAUAUGUGUAUAUAAAUAAUAAAUGUAUGCAAUAUUUUUUUCCCCUAAAAAAUGAAUAAAACUCGUUGAUCAACUUAAAUUGAUACAAUUUGAAUUUAAAAAGAUACCAAUAUGACUUUGAAUUUAUAUACACAUAUAUUUACACGAAUGACACAAGUCUUAUACUUAAUAAUUUUUCAAUCAGAAAUUCUUGGUCAUUUUAAAAUAAAGGAUAACCUAAAGAAUGAAGAACCACAAACUUCGUAUUAUAUUAUAGUGUAUUGAAACCUAUAUACACUUUUUUUUAAAAAAAUCUAUAUACUUUAUCCUAACUUUAACACUUUUUAAUAUUGCUUGGGACCGUGGCAUUCAUUAUUUAAUUGCAGAGGUGGAUAGCCAAUGUGUUUCCCAACUGAUUUCCUCUACUAACUUGAUGCCUAAUGCACAUUUUUCUCUCAUAACUGUCAUAAAGGAACUGAUGAAUAGACAAUAACUCAUUAUCAUAAAGCAUAUAUAUCGGGAAGCUAAUUUUACUGCAGAUUUCAUGGCGAAACUUGCUGGUUCCUUACCCCUUGAACUUCAUGUCUUUGAAAAUCUCCCGGGGAUCUUAGUUAUUGGUUAUGUAAUGAUAUAUAUGGGACCUUUAUUCUCCGUUCUGUUUUAGCCUAGUUUUACUAGGCUCCAACGUAUAUAAAAAAAAAAAUUCCAUGAUUGAAAACUCAAUCAUCUUAUACUUAUAGUCUCCAUCAAGCUCAGUUUCCAAUCAAAAUAGUCUGCUAUAUAGACCAUUUACAUUUCUCUUCGAAUAGUGAAUUGUCACAAACACGUUAGGUGACUUUUGGCGUCUUUAUAGAAAUUCAUAAAUUGUUGGCUGGUCAAAUUAUUCAUCAAAAUAAUUUUUGUGAAUGUGGGGCUUCUAUGUUUGUACGAAUUGAUACACUCACUGGUUAAUUAAUUAUUAAACAAAUUUUAUCGUGUUAGCAACUAUUUGCUAAUCAAUGCGAACUUGCUAUUUCGUGAAAGAGAUGUCAAUCAAUGUUGCAUUGUGGCUACUUUAAUUUGUUAAAGAAACUUAACUUCAUCUUUUGCUUUUUGUUCCGCACGUUUGUAAAAAUCCUAUGAAGAAUUCAAAGUUUUAAGUGACUAACUUUAUUGAAAGGUAAAAUUAUCCCCAUAAUUGAACAUAAUUGAAUAUAGUAACGUCGACUAUUUUAUUUUAAAUCUUCGUCUUCUUCUUCCCAUCUCUCUUAUUAUUAUUAUUAUUAUUAUUUUAAUUAUAUCACAAAUUUACUAAUAUCUAUAAGGACUACUUGAGAGCAAUUCUAUAACACCACCAGGCACCAAGAA
rnacentral:lncRNA from 1 species